CGGCCAGUGGCGCAAUGGAUAACGCGCCUGGCUAAGGAUCAGGAGGCUGUAGGUUCGAAUCCUAUCUGGCCCG